GAUGAAGAACGUAGUGAAAUGCGAUAAGUAAUGUGAAUUGCAGAAUUCAGUGAAUCAUCGAAUCUUUGAACGCACAUUGCGCCCGCCAGUAUUCUGGCGGGCAUGCCUGUUCGAGCGUCAUUUCAACCAUCAAGCCCCGGGCUUGUGUUGGGGACCUGCGGCUGCCGCAGGCCCUGAAAAGCAGUGGCGGGCUCGCUGUCACACCGAGCGUAGUAGCAUAUAUCUCGCUCUGGGCGUGCUGCGGGUUCCGGCCGUUAAACCACCUUUUAACCCAAGGUUGACCUCGGAUCAGGUAGGAAGACCCGCUGAACUUAAGCAUAUCAAUAAGCGGAGGA
rnacentral:misc_RNA from 1 species